GGUUUAAUAGUUUAAAGUAGAAUGAGAGUUUUGUAAACUUUAGGUAUUUAGGUUAAUUAUUUAAUCCA
rnacentral:tRNA from 1 species